rnacentral:rRNA from 1 species
UACGUAGGGGGCAAGCGUUGUCCGGAAUCAUUGGGCGUAAAGCGCGUGUAGGCGGCCCGAUUAGUCCGCUCUGAAAGUCCAGGGCUCAACCCUGGAUGCGGGUGGAUACUGUCGGGCUAGAGUCCGGAAGAGGCGGGUGGAAUUUCCGGUGUAGCGGUGAAAUGCGUAGAUAUCGGAAGGAACACCUGUGGCGAAAGCGGCUCACUGGACCAUUACUGACGCUGAGGCACGAAAGCUAGGGGAGCAAACAGG